UUCUUUCUAGGCUCACUUUCCAGUAAGCCUACUUUGUUACGACUUAUUUCACUUUAAAGUGAAAGCGACGGGCGAUAUGUGCAUAUUUUAGAGCUAUUUUCAUUUUAAUAAAAUAAUUAAAAUUACAAUCAAAUCCAUGUUCAUAUUUAUAUUUCAAUAAAUAAUCCCCUAAAUACUAAUAAUGUAACCCAUCUCAACUUAUUCAUACGCUACACCUUGAUCUGAUUUCCUUUUUAAUAAAAACUAUGAAUAUUUAAAUUCUUAAAAAAUAUUCAAACUACGACGAUAUGUAAACAAAGAAAAAGUAAAAUUAAUCGUGGAUCAUCGAUUACAGGACAGGUUCCUCUGAAUAGAAUAAAAUACCGCCAAAAUCUUUAAUUUUCAAGAACAUAACUAAUACUAAUCUAGAAAUAAAAUUUACAUUCCAAAUAAUAGGGUAUCUAAUCCUAGUUUAAAAAAAAAUUUCCCAGAAUCAUUUUCCAAAAAUAAAUUAAUAUUAAAAUUUAAAAUUUCACCUAAAAAAUCUUAAUUAUAAUUUUAAAAACAAAUUUACUGAUUCCAAAAAAAUUAAAUUACAUCAUUUGUCUAACCGCGGCUGCUGGCACAAAUUUAGCCAAUGUUAAAAAUAAUUCCUAAAUCUAGCUUACACUAAUUAUUUAAAUUCCUUUACUGCAAAAAAUAAAUUUUUAAUUAUUAAAAUCAAAAAUUAUAGCUAAAGCUUACAUGUAAAAAAAAAUUAAACUUAAUUUCCAAGUAAAAAUAAAACUUUCCGAAAAGUAAAUAACAAAUAAACAUAAUAAUCUUUC
rnacentral:rRNA from 1 species